rnacentral:rRNA from 1 species
CAAUAGCGUAUAUUUAAGUUGUUGCAGUUAAAAAGCUCGUAGUUGGAUUUUGGGUGCGGCAGGCCGGUCCGCCGAUUCGGUGUGCACUGGCAGGCGGCAUCUUUCUGUCGAGGACGCGCUCCUGGUCUUGACGAUCGGGACGCGGAGUCGGCGAUGUUACUUUGAAAAAAUUAGAGUGUUCAAAGCGGGCCUACGCUUGAAUAUAUUAGCAUGGAAUAACAUGAUAGGACUCUGGUCUUAUUUUGUUGGUUUCCGAGACUGGAGUAAUGAUUAAGAGGGACAGUCGGGGGCAUCCGUAUUUCAUUGUCAGAGGUGAAAUUCUUGGAUUUAUGAAAGACGAAUUUCUGCGAAAGCAUUUGCCAAGGAUGUUUUCAUUAA